ACACUCCUACGGGAGGCAGCAGUGGGGAAUUUUGGACAAUGGGCGAAAGCCUGAUCCAGCAAUGCCGCGUGCAGGAUGAAGGCCUUCGGGUUGUAAACUGCUUUUGUACGGAACGAAAAAGCUCCUUCUAAUACAGGGGGCCCAUGACGGUACCGUAAGAAUAAGCACCGGCUAACUACGUGCCAGCAGCCGCGGUAAUACGUAGGGUGCGAGCGUUAAUCGGAAUUACUGGGCGUAAAGCGUGCGCAGGCGGUUAUGUAAGACAGAUGUGAAAUCCCCGGGCUCAACCUGGGAACUGCAUUUGUGACUGCAUGGCUAGAGUACGGUAGAGGGGGAUGGAAUUCCGCGUGUAGCAGUGAAAUGCGUAGAUAUGCGGAGGAACACCGAUGGCGAAGGCAAUCCCCUGGACCUGUACUGACGCUCAUGCACGAAAGCGUGGGGAGCAAACAGGAUUAGAAACCCGAGUAGUCCCAUGA
rnacentral:rRNA from 1 species